UACGAAGGGGGCUAGCGUUGCUCGGAAUCACUGGGCGUAAAGCGCACGUAGGCGGCUUUUUAAGUCAGGGGUGAAAUCCUGGAGCUCAACUCCAGAACUGCCUUUGAUACUGGGAAGCUUGAGUCCGGAAGAGGAGAGUGGAAUUCCUGGUGUAGCGGUGAAAUGCGCAGAUAUCAGGAAGAACACCAAUGGCGAAAGCAGCUCUCUGGGACGGUACUGACGCUGAGACGCGAAAGCGUGGGGAGCAAACAGG
rnacentral:rRNA from 1 species